CAGCCUGGGCAACAUGGUAACACCCCAUCUCUACUAAAAAUACAAAAAUGUUGUUCAAAAAAGCCUGGAACCUCCUUCCUCUGUCUCUUUCUUCCUCCCUUGCCAUGUGAUCUUCACACAGUUCAGCUCCCCUUCACCUUCCACCAUGAGCGGAAGCUUCCUGAGGCCCUCAUUAGAAGCAGGUGUUGGUGCCAUGCCUCCUACACAGCCUGCAGAAUUGUGAGCCGAAUAAACUUGUUUCCUUUAUAAAUUACCCAGCCUCAGGUGUUCCCUUAUAGCAACACAAAUGGGCGGAGACACUUGGCUUGUAGCUGUAGUGCUCCAACUUCUGCGUCUGUCCUCACGGGUUCUUCUUUCUCCUAUGUCUCUGUGCCCAAAUUUUCUUCUCAUAGGAAACCAGUCACUGGAUGUAGGGUCCGCUCUAAUCCAGGGAGACCCCAUCUUAGCAUGAUUACAUCUGCAAAGACUCCAUGUGCAAAUAAGGUCACAGUCACAGGUUCUGGGUGGACAUAAAUUAUUGGGAGACACGAUUCAACCCAAAACAGUAACCAUCAAAAUAAUGUUGGAAAAAGUCCACAAUUUAUUAAGUGAAAAAAAAGCGUACUACAACAUAAUAUAAUUUUAUUUUUGUAAAAACAAUAAAAGUUGCUUGUGUGAACAGCAUGUUACUUGCUGUGUUCUCCCAAUCCCUGAUCCUUAUCAUCCGAGCGCAAGGAAACCUUUCAUGAGACAAUAGAAAACUCAAGGUCUUCUGAUAGUCCCGAAAAAGUGACCACAUUAAAAACUAUAGGCCAACAAGGUGAAAACUCAUCUCUACUAAAAAUACAAAAAAUUAGCUCGGUGUGGUGGCAGGUGCCUGUAAUCCCAGCUUCUCUGGAGGCUGAGGCAGGAGAAUCACUUGAACCCCAGAAGCAGAGGUUUGCAGUGAGCUGAGAUCAUGCCAUCACACUCCAGCUUGGGCAACAAGAGCGCAACUCCAUUUCAGAAAAAAAAAAGCAACAACAAAAAUAACUAUA
rnacentral:lncRNA from 1 species